rnacentral:rRNA from 1 species
AUUGAACGCUGGCGGCAGGCUUAACACAUGCAAGUCGAGCGGAGAUGAGGUGCUUGCACCUUAUCUUAGCGGCGGACGGGUGAGUAAUGCUUAGGAAUCUGCCAUUUAGUGGGGGACAACAUUCCGAAAGGAAUGCCAAUACCGCAUACGUCCUACGGGAGAAAGCAGGGGAUCUUCGGACCUUGCGCUAAAUGAUGAGCCUAAGUCGGAUUAGCUAGUUGGUGGGGUAAAGGCCCACCAAGGCGACGAUCUGUAGCGGGUCUGAGAGGAUGAUCCGCCACACUGGGACUGAGACACGGCCCAGACUCCUACGGGAGGCAGCAGUGGGGAAUAUUGGACAAUGGGCGGAAGCCUGAUCCAGCCAUGCCGCGUGUGUGAAGAAGGCCUUUUGGUUGUAAAGCACUUUAAGCGAGGAGGAGGCUACCUGGAUUAAUACUCUGGGAUAGUGGACGUUACUCGCAGAAUAAGCACCGGCUAACUCUGUGCCAGCAGCCGCCGCCGUA